AACGCACAUUGCGCCCGCCGGUACUCCGGCGGGCAUGCCUGUCCGAGCGUCAUUGACAACCCUCAGGCCCUGGUGCCUGGUGUUGGGGCACUACAGCAUGCUGUAGGCCCUGAAAUCCAGUGGCGGGACCGCUGUAAACCCGGGCGUAGUAACAUUACGUCGUCCAGGGUGUUCCGGCGCGCCCCAGCCGUUAAACCCACCAUAUUUAUCAAUUUUGGCCUCGGAUCAGGUAGGAUUACCCGCUGAACUUAA
rnacentral:misc_RNA from 1 species